GAUGAAGAACGUAGCGAAAUGCGAUAAGUAAUGUGAAUUGCAGAAUUCAGUGAAUCAUCGAAUCUUUGAACGCACAUUGCGCCCGCUAGUAUUCUGGCGGGCAUGCCUGUCCGAGCGUCAUUUCAACCCUCAAGCCCCCGGGCUUGGUGUUGGGGAUCGGCGAGCCUCCGCGCCCGCCGUCCCCUAAAUCUAGUGGCGGUCUCGCUGUAGCUUCCUCUGCGUAGCAGCACACCUCGCACUGGGAAACAGCGCGGCCACGCCGUUAAACCCCCAACUUCUGAACGUUUGACCUCGGAUCAGGUAGGAAUACCCGCUGAACUUAAGCAUAUCAAUAAGCGGAGGA
rnacentral:misc_RNA from 1 species